GCACAUGCCUGUAAUUCCAGUACUCAAGAGGCUGAGGCACGGGAAUCUCUUGCACCUAGGAGGCAGAGGUUGCAGUGAGCCGACUGUGCCACUGCACUCCAGCCUGGGUGACGGAGUGAGACUCUGUCUCAAAAAAAAAAAAGGAAAAAAAAUUUAGCUGGGUGUGGUAGUGCACACCUGUAGUCCCAGCUACUUGCGAGGCUGAGGUGGGAGGAUCACUUGAGACUGGGAGGUUGAGGCUGCAGUGAGCCAUGAUCGUACCAUUGCAUUCAUGAUCUGCCUGGGCGGCAGAGAAAGACCCCAUCUAUAAAUAAUAAUAAUAACAAAUGUUUUAUAUUGAUUACAUGUUGAAAUGAUAACUCUUUAGAUAUGAGUUAAAAUACAUUAUUAAAAUUAUCAUCUCCUUUUUUAACUUUGUUAAUGUGUCUACUAGAGAAUUAAAAUUUACAAAUGUGGCUCACAUUACAUUUCUUUUGGGCUAUGCUGAUAAAGAUCAGUUUGCUACUACCUAUGAUCAAUGUGCUGCAACCAUAAAUCCAUGUGGGACAAACAGUCUGAUUACUGUUCUAUCUUUCUGUCUUAUUGGAGUAACUGGGCCCACCUUGUCUCUGAUAGUCAAUCACUGUUUCUGAUUGUCACUGUGAGUUCCUAUUACUACAGUUAGUAUUACAGACUGUAAUGUAAUGGCAACAUCUCAUCUCACUGUCAUCCCUAGUCUUUAGAAGCUACCACAGAACUUUUCAAAGAUGCUGGUGUUCUUACUGAUGAAUUUUUAAAUAUUUUGUAAGGGAAGUGUCCUCUGUGCCUUAGGGGAUGGAUUCAGCAGAUUAUAUAAUAUAUAAUAGAUACAUUUCAAUUUCCCACCUCAACAAACUUCCAAUUCUUUGAUUCUUUCUACAAUAUGCUAGGGAAGUUCUGGCAUACUCAGCCUCAUUAGAUGUAGGGCAUUGUUAUAUCAAAGAGUGAAUUACUUAACCAGGCAAACUAUUAGAGCCAUUCCCAGCUGCUUAAGCUACAUCUUGAAUCCCAGGUGAAUUCACCUAUAUUGCCAAAUUUGAUCCAAUCCAGCUAGAUUUCAUCCUGCUUGGUCUACUACUCUUGGAAUCUAUUCCCAAACAUGUUCACCAGGUUUCUGCUAAUAUAACAAAAAGACAUUGUAAUUCUUUUGGAGUAUAACUAUGUCCUUCUGGAGAAGAUCUUUCAUUUUUUUCCUCUAGGCCAUAAGAUUUCUCCUGGCCCUGGAGGCAAUGAGAUAAGGUGGGGCUAGGUCUUUAGGACAAUAGACUGCCUCUUGCAAGGCAACUACCCUAUGUGAAAUAGAAAAGUCUAUGCAAGGGACUACUUUCUCCAGUAAGGGUAAUUCAGGGGCACUUAGGGGGCCAAUUAUCUCAGUUUGUUUGUUUGUUUGUUUGUUUGUGACAGAGUCUCACUCUGUCACCCAGGCUGGAGUGCAGUGGUGAGAUCUCAGCUCACUGCAACCUCUGCCUCCCAGGUGCAAGCAAUUCUUGUGUCUCAGCCUCCUGAGUAGCUGGGAUCACAGGUGCGUGCCAUCAUGCUCGGCUAAUUUUUGUAUUUUUAGUAGAGAUGGAGUUUCACCAUGUUGGCCAAGCUGGUCUCGAACACCUGGCCUCAAGCCAUCCACCCGACUCAGCUUCCGAAAGUGCUGGAGUUACAAGCUUGAGCCACUGCUCCCAGCCAGGAAUUUCAGUUUCAUUUGUUUCAUUCCAAAUGUCCUCUUCCCAAUCUCAGGGCCCAAUUCUAGCACAGACUAAUGUUAGAUAAGGUUGUACAUUUAAGAGGCUUUACAAAUCUUCAACCCCCACAAUUAUAUCUUAGGCGUGACCCACAGCUUUGUCUUCCCUGAGGCUUCAUGAGAUAAGGAAUUCCUAUAAGGCCUCCGUAGAAACUUUCCGGUUCUACACCCAUGUCUUGAGUUGCAAGUUCAAGGUUCAAAGCUUCUCUCUCUUUCUCUCUCUCUCUCUCUUUCAAACUCUCCAGCACAGUCAGAACUAGCCAGCCCAUCCUGUAAUUACUGUAAUCACCUCUGACUGUUGCCAUAACAGUGGUCACAUAAAACUGCACCUUCCACUAGCUCUCCAUCCUACAUCACCAUCAGUAAUAAUGUGAGUCAUCUUAAUGCUACUUCAUGCCACACCAUGUCCCAUUUCCAUCCACCAUAAGGUCAUUUAUGCCUUCAUUACAUAAGUGAGAAACCUAGUUCCCAAAUCUCAUUUUCAAGGUUGUUCCUAGGACCACUUCAGUUACCAACUAUUGCAUUAGUCAGGGUCUCAGCAGGAAGCAGCAUCUACACCAGAUGGUUUAGAUAAAGAUAUCUUAAUGAAGAGCUAUCACAGAGGCAUGAGCAAGGUUAAGGGGGCAAAUGUGGGAUGUUAAGGAACUAAUGGCUUAGCAACUGUGUGAAGCCAUCACUACUUCAAGGGCUGAGAGCAGAAGCAAAUAAUGUCACCAAAGGAAGAAGUCAGAUGUAGAGUCAUGAAGGAAGAGACACAGGGCAGGAGUUGCAGUCCAUGGAGGGUCACAGCCACCGCCAGAGAUGUAAUAUACAUGCAGGGAAGAACUACUCCAACCUCACUGCCAAAAACAAUCGGAAGCUGGAAGACAAAGGAGCCUAGGCAGUGCGUUCCAGAAAAAGGGCGAGUAUCCUGGGCCACAAGCAGCAUAAAGAAGGGCUGAGAAUGCAUUUCAGGUAGGAGGGAAAAAGCUCUCCAGCUCUCCAGGUAUGGCACUAUACAUGAACCAUGUCCCUUAAUCCUUCUAACCUAAUAUUAAUAAGGCAUAAACUAUUAUUAUCCCCAUUUUACGGAUGAGGACAUACGCUCAGAGAAUAGCUUGCUCAAGAUUAUACAAAUAGUCAAUGGUGGGGCUGCAACUUGACCUGGGCAAUUUGAACUUUAGUUUUUGUAUCAUGCUGAAUGAGAUGAGUUAGGCUAGAGUAGAGGGUUCCACUAGAGGAGAAGUGAAGACAUUUGGGGCCAAAGCAUGGAAGACUUGAAAUCUGCUCUAAGGAAUUCUGUAGCUUUCUCUCCAAGUUGUAGGCAGGUACCACAACUGUUCUGCAGUGCUUAAUCAAGCCCUGCAGGAAUUAGAAAAUUUAUUCACCUUUGCUGCUGCUUCUUAGUAACCUGGUCCAGAGAGUCAGCCUUGAAGAACCUGCCUUGUGCUCCUGAGUGUGGAAGAUGUUGGCUGUUUGUGCUCCCCAUUAUCCAUAUCCUUUUAUGGAAUUUCUAUAGAUGAAGCCAAGACUGAAGCCAACACAGAAGAAAGGCGAACUGAGACAUGACCCACGUCACAUCCCUAUAACAGGCUUGAGCCUUCAUCCAGCCAUAGCCACAUCCUGGCAGAUCCCUGGACUUUUUGUUACAUUCUAUAAGCCUGAGGAGUGAGUCCCAAGAUGGAAGAAACCUAUGUGAUGGCAGAGGGUGAGACGCCCCGGAGAAGAGGAAUAUAUCCCCUGGGAUGAGAGACAAGAUAAACGCUUGAAUCAACACACUCCUCCACAGAGAAAUACCUAGAAGUGGAAUUUUGAAUCAUAUGAGUCCAUUUGCUUUCCCGACAAACUGCAUUGGAUUGGAUUUCACAGGCUGCUGAGGCAAUGCAAGGAGACAGCUUUCAGACUCCUGGAGAGAGGAGGCUGCAGGAGCGUGAUCAGGACAACAGCCACGUGGCCCAUGCUCUCCAGCAACACCCAAGGAGCCCAGGAUUCAGAGCAGGGCCGGUGGUGGGGAAAGCCCUGAACGAGAAUCCCACACUGGCUGCAUGACCUCAGAUGAGGCACCUUGACCCUGAAUCUCAGUUUCCCUACCUGUAAAAUAGGAUGAUAAUUUUUGCUGGUGUGGCAGAGUGGAAACUAAGUCUGGGAGUGUUUGGUUUGAUUAUUAGAAGAAACAGGCCAGGCACAGUGGCUCACGCCUGUAAUCCCAGCAUUUUGAGAGGCUGAGGUGGGUGGAUCACUUGAGGUCAGGAGUUCAAGACCAGCCUGGCCAACAUGGCGAAAUCCUGUCUCUACUAAAACUACAAAAACUAGCUGGGUGUGGUGGUGCACACCUGUAAUCCCAGAGUAGGCUGAGGCAGGAGAAUCGCUUGAACCUGGGAGGCAGAGAUUGCAGGGAGCCAAGAUGGCUCCACUGCAUUCCAGCCCAGGCGACGGGGUGAGACCCAGUCUCACAAAAAAGAAAAAGAAGGAGAAGAAGAAGAAGAAGAGGAAACUGCCCCAUAGAGUAGGCUUUUUCAGCCUCCUCUCCCUGGGUCCUCAUAUCAGCCCUGAUUGCCAGGAAGAAGAGAGGUGACGAUUUCCUCUCACAUAGUAAGGAAAUUGUGGCUCAGCGAUAAACUCCAGCUAGCUUGGGGAGUGAGAGGAAUGCCAGGAGUCAGUCGUGGGUGAUGGGCAGCGCCGGGCUCUCUAGGAGCUCCUGUGGUCGUCUGGCUUUAUCCCUCCUCAAAGAGCUGGGAGUAGGGGAGUGAGGCACUUGCCUCAGGCAUGCAAAAUGUAAGGGGGUGCCAAAAAACUCAGUGAUCAAGAUAAAUAAUAUCUUAAUGUGAUAUUUUUAAAAAUCAAAAUUGGUGCAAAAAAUCCAUAAUGAACAAAAUAUCUAAUUUUUAAAUAAAGAUAAGAUCAAUCCUUAUCUCAUAACACAAGCUGUCUCUUCUGCCUGAGCACAGAGGCAGGAAUGCCCUGGGAUGGAGGAAAUACUGCGUGGGACUCCAUAUUGGGGUUUUAUUCAUCUUGGCCUCUCAGUUCAGGGGGUGACUCUUUUUUUUCUCUGACCUCCAGCUUUCCCACCAGAGGCAGGAGAGCCAAGCAAUCUGCCCUUAGGCUCUGGAGUAAGGUAAAGCUGGAUGUUAAUCCCUGCUCCAUUACUUAUUAGCUAGGGGACCUUUGGAUAGUAGCUUGGAAUAGUGGCUUAACAUCCUGUAAACCUCAGUUUUCUUUCUUUUCUUUUUUUUUUUUUUUUUUUGAGAUGGAGCCUGGCUCUGUCACCCACGCUGGAGUGCAAUGGCGUGACCUCUGCUCACUGCGACUUCCGCCUCCCGGGUUCAAGUGAUUCUCCUGCCUCAGCCUCCUCAGUAGCUGGGAUUACGGGUGCGUGCCACCACGCCUGGCUAGUUUUUUGUAUUUUUAGCAGAGACAGGGUUUCACCAUGUUGGCCAGGCUUGUCUCAAACUCCUGACCUCAGGUGAUCCACCCACCUUGGCCUCCCAAAGUGCUGGGAUUACAGGCGUGAGCCUCCACGCUCGGCCUUAAACCUCAGUUUUCUAGUCUGUAAACCUCCAUUUUCUAAUCUGUACCUGCCUGGCUGGGUUACUGUGAAGAUUAAAUGAGAAAAUGUGCACAUGGCUUUUAACACAGGACCUCCGCCAUCAUAAGUGCUCAAUAAACAUUACUUACUGUUUUUACCUCUAAAUUAAGUAUCAUUGUCCUCAGUCCCAAAGUGAGACAAAUUAUAUGCUAAAGAGAUAUGAUAGCACCUAGAAGGAAGGAGAAAAAAAAUCAAGCACAGUGUCCCAUUCCACUGCUGGAAGCCACCAGGAAGACAGUACUAUCUACACAACUCUCUGUCUCCUAAAGGAAUUCUGGGCAUAGUCUGGGUGUUUCAGCCAGGCCCCUCCCAAGAGAAGUUCAAGGUUGAACCCAACCUGCUGGACCACAGGGAGUCUCCUAAUCCCAGCCACACAUUCCCCAGAGCAGGUGCCACAAGCCCAGAGACAAGUCACCAUGGGAAGGUGGAUGUCAGGGCAGCUGAGCCCUGAGGGUCUUGGUAAUGAAAAACUCCCCACCAACACUAUCACUGGUCCUGCUUCCCUUUUUGAAUUGGAUGCUAAGGAGCCUAGAGCUAAAUUUACAGCCCAUCUUUAGCAAGCACAUAAUACUUCACUUCAUACAUUUGGUGUGGAAACCUCCAUCUACAAUUCCUGCUGUUAUUUUCUGUUUGUCUCAUUUCCUCUCACUUGUUUUAAUGUACUUUACGCUGCCUUAAAUCCAUUUUGGAACAAGGUGGGGAAUAGAUAAAUACAUCCUAACUGUAUUUAAACAGCUUUCCAUUGUAUAUGUAUAUAUUCUUGUGUAUCUCUUUUCUAAAAAUUACUGCCUGCUGAUGCCUGCAAAUGGCUGUGUUUGCGUGUGCUAAUUGUGUAACUGACUGGAUUUAAAAUUGAGAGCUUUGAUGAGUACCCAGGAAGCAAGGAAACAGGGUGUUUUCAUUUUCAGUAUAAAAGGGAGGGUUGGGCCCAGGUGUCUGCCUUAAGAAUAGUCAGUUUAAGGCAAUGGUUCUCAACUGGGGCCAGUUUUCCCUCCCAGGGGGGCGCUUUUGGCAAUCUCUGGAGGCAUUUUUGGUUAUCACAACUUAGAGGGCAGGCAUCCGGCAUUGCUACUGGCAUCUAGCACGUAGAGGCCAGGGAUACUGCUAAACAUUCUACAAUGCACAGGACAGGCCCCUCAACCAAGAGGCACCCGGGCUAAAUCAUCAAUAGUGAUGAGGCUGAGAAACCCUGACUUCAAGGUAGAGGAGUUCUAGAAGGAAGAAGGAGCAGAGGCUUGCAGGUACCAAGGCUGCUCUGGGAACCCUCAGGGCAGCCUUCCUGAACCGGGCCAGGAAGAGGAAACAGUGGAGAGGGCCCCAGCUCCUCAGUUACCAGGAGAACCCGGAAUCUCUUACUGGGCCAUGAGAGAAACAAGAACAACUCAUGAAUGAAACAGAUUCCUCAGGUGUCCAGGAGGAGUGAGGCUUUUGUUGUCUAGGAAGGGGGAGCCUUUCAUCUGACACAAGAUAGCUUUUUUUUUUUUUUUUUUUUUUUUUUUUUAAGACAGGGUCUCACUCUGUCAUCCAGGCUGGAGUGCAAUGGUGCAAUGUAGGCUUACUGCAGCCUCAACCUCUGAGGACCAUCUGCUACACUCAGUCCACCAAUUCAAAUGCUAAUCUCUCUGGGGCCCAAGGGAUCCUCCUACCUCAGCCUCCUGAGUAGCUGAGAGCACAAGUGUGCACCGCCAUGCAUGGCUUAUUUAUUUAUUUAUUUUUGUAGAGAUGAGGGUUUUCCUGUGUUGCCCAGGCUAGUCUUGAACUCCUGGGCUGAAGCGAUUCUCCUGCCUUGGCUCCCCAAACUGCUGGGUUGAAGGUGUGAGCUGCUGCACUUGACCUCAGCAGCAGAUGUCUUCUAGUUGCCCCUGCUCCUCCUCCACUGAGAUCUCUGCCUCAAGAAGCUUCCAGUUUUGUUCAGCCCCAGCAGAGGAUAAGAAGGCAAAGAAAACUGAAGAAGGGACAUUGAUUUCCUGGCCCCUCUCCAUGGGGCUGCCUCAGGUCAGCUGAGUUCCUCCACUGAAGUCACAGCUCCUCUCAAAGGGUCCCUCUCCAUAAUAAUAUUUCCUUACAGACUCUGGUAAUGACUUAAUGUCAUCUUCUUUCAUCCUUCUAGGUUAGGGAUGGUCACAGCCCCCCAUUUGACUAGUGCUGGCAUAUUAUGCCAUGUCUCAUGGUUUCCCCAUAGCCUGCUGUAUUAGGAUUCUCCAGAGAAACAGAACCAAGAGGAGACAGAUAGAUAGAUAGAUAGAUAGAUAGAGAGAUAGAUAGGUAGAUAGAUAGAUAAUAGAUAAUUAGAUAGAUAUAUGAUAUAUUAUUAGAUAGAUGAUAUAGAUAGAUAUAUAAUUAGGUAGAUAGAUGAUAGAUACACAGAUGGACAGAUAGAUUACACAGAUACUAGAUAGGUAGAUAGAUGAUAGAAAGAUAAAUAGAUUACAUAGAUGAUAAAUAGAUGAGAUAGAUAGAGAGAUAGAUAGAUAAUAAUUAGAUAGAUAUAUGAUAUAUUAUUAGAUAGAUGAUAUAGAUAGAUAUAUAAUUAGGUAGAUAGAUGAUAGAUACACAGAUGGACAGAUAGAUUACACAGAUACUAGAUAGGUAGAUAGAUGAUAGAAAGAUAAAUAGAUUACAUAGAUGAUAAAUAGAUAUGAUAGAAAGAUAAAUAGAUUACAUAGAUGAUAAAUAGAUGAGAUAGAUAGAUAUAGAUAGAUAGAUAGAUAGAUAGAUAGAUAGAUAGAUAAUAGAUAGUGAUAUAGUUUGGCUGUGUCCCCACCCAAAUCUCAUCUUGAAUUGUAGCUCCCAUAAUCCCCACAUGUCAUGGGAGGGACCCAGUGCGAGGUAAUUGAAUCAUGGGAGUGGGUUUUUCUCAAGCUGUUCUUGUUAAUCAGUCUCACGAGAUCUGAUGGUUUAUAAAGGGUAGUUCCCUUGCACACUCUCUUUUGCCUGCCACCAUGUAAGAUGUGCCUUUGCUCCUCCUUUGCCUUCCACUAUGAUUUGAGGCCUCCCCAGCCAUGUGGAACCAUGAGUCCAUUAAAUCUCUUUUUCUUUAUAAAUUACCCAGUGUCAGGUAUUUCUUCAUAGCAGUAUGAAAAUGGACUAAUCCAGAUAGAUAGAUAGAUAGAUGAUAG
rnacentral:lncRNA from 1 species